rnacentral:rRNA from 1 species
AGGGCGCACGGUGGAUGCCUUGGCACUAGAAGCCGAAGAAGGACGUGACUAACGACGAAAUGCUUUGGGGAGCUGUAAGUAAGCGCUGAUCCAGAGAUGUCCGAAUGGGGGAACCCACUAGUUAAUGACUAGUAUCCAUAUCUGUUAAGGAUAUGAGAAGGAAGACGCAGUGAACUGAAACAUCUAAGUAGCUGCAGGAAGAGAAAGCAAAAGCGAUUGCCUUAGUAGCGGCGAGCGAAACGGCAGGAGGGCAAACCGAAGUGUUUACACUUCGGGGUUGUAGGACUGCGAUAUAGGAUUAAUCAUUAUAGAAGAAUUACCUGGGAAGGUAAGCCAAAGAGAGUAACAGCCUCGUAUUUAAAAUGAUAGAUUAACCUUAGCAGUAUCCUGAGUACGGCGAGACACGCGAAAUCUCGUCGGAAUCUGGGAGGACCAUCUCCCAACCCUAAAUACUCUCUAGUGACCGAUAGUGAACCAGUACCGUGAGGGAAAGGUGAAAAGCACCCCGGGAGGGGAGUGAAAUAGAACCUGAAACCGUGUGCCUACAACAAGUUCGAGCCCGUUAAUGGGUGAGAGCGUGCCUUUUGUAGAAUGAACCGGCGAGUUACGAUAUGAUGCGAGGUUAAGUUGAAGAGACGGAGCCGUAGGGAAACCGAGUCUUAAUAGGGCGCCAUAGUAUCAUGUUGUAGACCCGAAACCAUGUGACCUACCCAUGAGCAGGUUGAAGGUGAGGUAAAACUCACUGGAGGACCGAACCAGGGCACGUUGAAAAGUGCUUGGAUGACUUGUGGGUAGCGGAGAAAUUCCAAACGAACUUGGAGAUAGCUGGUUCUCUCCGAAAUAGCUUUAGGGCUAGCGUCGAUGUUAAGUCUCUUGGAGGUAGAGCACUGUUUGGGUGAGGGGUCCAUCCCGGAUUACCAAUCUCAGAUAAACUCCGAAUGCCAACGAGAUAUAAUCGGCAGUCAGACUGCGAGUGCUAAGAUCCGUAGUCGAAAGGGAAACAGCCCAGACCACCAGCUAAGGUCCCAAAAUAUAUGUUAAGUGGAAAAGGAUGUGGGGUUGCACAGACAACUAGGAUGUUAGCUUAGAAGCAGCUAUUCAUUCAAAGAGUGCGUAAUAGCUCACUAGUCGAGUGACCCUGCGCCGAAAAUGUACCGGGGCUAAAACAUAUUACCGAAGCUGUGGAUGACACAAAAGUGUCAUGGUAGGAGAGCGUUCUAUGUGUGAAGAAGGUGUACCGUGAGGAGCGCUGGAACGCAUAGAAGUGAGAAUGCCGGUAUGAGUAGCGCAAGACAGGUGAGAAUCCUGUCCACCGUAAGACUAAGGUUUCCAGGGGAAGGCUCGUCCGCCCUGGGUUAGUCGGGACCUAAGGAGAGACCGAAAGGUGUAUCCGAUGGACAACAGGUUGAUAUUCCUGUACUAGAGUAUAUAGUGAUGGAGGGACGCAGUAGGCUAACUAAACCAGACGAUUGGAAGUGUCUGGUCAAACAGUGAGGUGUGAUAUGAGUCAAAUGCUUAUAUCUUUAACAUUGAGCUGUGACGAGGAGCGAAGUUUAGUAGCGAAGUUAGUGAUGUCACACUGCCAAGAAAAGCUUCUAGCGAUACAUAUACUCUACCCGUACCGCAAACCGACACAGGUAGUCGAGGCGAGUAGCCUCAGGUGAGCGAGAGAACUCUCGUUAAGGAACUCGGCAAAAUGGCCCCGUAACUUCGGGAGAAGGGGCGCUGAUUUUAGAUCAGCCGCAGUGAAUAGGCCCAAGCAACUGUUUAUCAAAAACACAGCUCUCUGCUAAAUCGUAAGAUGAUGUAUAGGGGGUGACGCCUGCCCGGUGCUGGAAGGUUAAGAGGAGUGCUUAGCGUAAGCGAAGGUAUGAAUUGAAGCCCCAGUAAACGGCGGCCGUAACUAUAACGGUCCUAAGGUAGCGAAAUUCCUUGUCGGGUAAGUUCCGACCCGCACGAAAGGCGUAAUGAUUUGGGCACUGUCUCAACGAGAGACUCGGUGAAAUUUUAGUACCUGUGAAGAUGCAGGUUUACCCGCGACAGGACGGAAAGACCCCAUGGAGCUUUACUGCAGUUUGAUAUUGAGUAUCUGUACCACAUGUACAGGAUAGGUAGGAGCCUAUGAUAACGGGACGCCAGUUUCGUUUGAGGCGUUGUUGGGAUACUACCCUUGUGUUAUGGCUACUCUAACCCAGAUAGGCAAUCCCUAUCGGAGACAGUGUCUGACGGGCAGUUUGACUGGGGCGGUCGCCUCCUAAAAGGUAACGGAGGCGCCCAAAGGUUCCCUCAGACUGGUUGGAAAUCAGUCGUAGAGUGU